CGGAAAUCUGAAUCAAAUUAUAUUCUCCUUCACCAUAAAGUCAAGAAAAUCUUGGAAAUGGAAAAACGAAAUAAAUAUAUGGGUAUGGAUAGGAGAUAGGAGUAGAAGAUAACAUUUUAAGAUAUUAGUAGCAGCUGCCAAAUUGUUGUGGUUUUUGAAAUAGCUACUCGCUACGGUUAAAACUAUGUUGGAUGUUCCUUCUUGCAAGAAUUUGAUGAUGGGAGGCAGUUGUGAAGCGAUGGACUUGCAAAAAAUAGAUCAUUUUUUUUUGGAAAUGUACAUUAAAAUGGGGGAAAAAUCAAAGAUAUAGAGUUGAUAAUGGACGACACAAAAGUAGCAGACUAUUGUAAAGUCUGGUAUCACAGGAAAUAUGCAAAUCAAGCCUUUCCAGCAGGGUAGCUUGAAGAUUUAUUGACUUUCAUAUAGAACAUCGCAGUGAUAUGUCUGCCAUCACCUUUAUUUUGUAUAAUUAGAAUCGAAU